rnacentral:rRNA from 1 species
UCGAACGUAAGAUGACUGUAGGUGAAAGCUUACAUCUCUUCGGAGCAUUUUACGUAGGUGCUGCAUGGUUGUCGUCAGCUCGUGCCGUGAGGUGUCGGGUUAAGUCCCAUAACGAGCGCAACCCUACCUUUAGUUGCCAUCAGGUUAAGCUGGGGACUCUAAAGGAACUGCCUACGCAAGUAGUGAGGAAGGCGGGGAUGACGUCAAAUCAGCACGGCCCUUACGUCCAGGGCUACACACGUGCUACAAUGGCCGAUACAGAGGGCAGCUACCUGGUGACAGGAUGCAAAUCUCCAAAGUCGGUCUCAGUUCGGAUCGGAGUCUGCAACCCGACUCCGUGAAGUUGGAUUCGCUAGUAAUCGCGCAUCAGCCAUGGCGCGGUGAAUACGUUCCCGGGCCUU